rnacentral:lncRNA from 1 species
AUGUCGGAAAUCAUCUUGGAAAACAAACCUAAGCUCAUCAAAUGGCUUAGUUUGGAUUAUAAAUUUGUUUUGCAACAUGUUCAAGCUAAAAAACUUAUAACACAGUCGCACUAUGAUGACUUGAUGGCCAUGAAGGCGAGCGACAGUAUCAUCAAACUUCUGGACAUCAUCCGUAGAAGAGGAGAAAAUGUGUGUCGAGAUUUUCUGGAUUUGCUAAAAGAUGAUGAUGUGAAUGAAAUAUCGCCGGAGCUAAGAGACUGGGUCAAAACAGUUGACUCAGAAGACCAAGAAACCUGAUAGAGACUGUGAACACAGGCCAGUACAAGAUUAUCAGAAGUUUCUAAAAUAAAACACCAGUCUGCUGGUUCAACAAGUGAAGAACAUUGAUCCAAUUAUUGAUGAUCUCGACCUACAUGAUGAAUCCGUUGCAGUUGUGAGAGUGAAGCCAACAGAUCAAGAGAAGAUGAGGAAACUGCUUACCGAACUGCUGAACAGCUACUGAGUGUUGUAUUGUUUACCCACCGGAUUAGCAGCAUGUUAUUAAAGGAAAUGGAAUAUUGUACUGUCAAUGCCAACAAUAAAUUUUUAAUGUUUUGAUAGUAAAAGUGAUAGUUAUUGGAGUUUUCCUUUUUAUAUAAACUGAGAACCAAGUAUAUUGUACAAACAGGCCUACAUGUAACCAAACAUGUCAGGGAUAUAUAUAUAUGUGUGUAUAUAUAUAUAUAUAUAUAUAUAUAUAUAUAUGUGUGUGUGUGUGUGUGUGUGUGUGUGUGUGUGUGUGUGUGUGUGUGUACAUUUUAUCAAUAUAACGGCUUGCUAUGAAGCACACUUGGAUUUUGUUUUAGUAAGUGGUCUAGUAAGUGAUGGAUGGCAUUUUACAUCGAUCUAUCUAAAAUUCUAUUAACUUAAAAAGCACAUUUCUACUAGUCUAUUUGCAUAGUUUUACUACUGGCGAAAUUAGCUCUCAGAGUCAUGACAGACCCACCCCCCCACCUCCCACCGGUUUCACGUACAGCCGUUUACACCCAUGUCAAACACAAACACAACUGGAGGUGCAGUAGAAGAACUCAGUCACUAGGUGGGGAUGGUGGUUCAGUACAACGAGUGAAGAGACGGAAGAAGGGGCUUGAACCGUGUCUAAAAGCACCUGUUGGCACAGGUAAAAAUAAAUACAAAUAUAAUAUGAAUUGUAAUUCAUUGCUCAAUCUAUAGAGAUUUAUUACACUCAGGUGGGUAAGUUACAGUUAUAUUUAUGGUCACAGCACCUAGCAGAUUCUGUUUGGGGAUGCAUUCAUGCUGCUUGGUGGUUUGAGGUUUGUUUUUGUAAACCGUUUGUAAGGAUUGCUUCAUUCUCAUCUAUUAGACUGUGGGGAAUUGUGGGAAAUUGUAAGCGCUCAGAAGGGCACACAGAGAACCUUGUCAGGCAUUACUGCACUAGAGAUUACAUAAAAAGUAACAU